rnacentral:rRNA from 1 species
AUACGUAGGGGGCGAGCGUUAUCCGGAAUGAUUGGGCGUAAAGGGCGCGUAGGCGGCCUGGUAAGUCUGGAGUGAAAGUCCUGCUUUUAAGGUGGGAAUUGCUUUGGAUACUGCUGGGCUUGAGUGCAGGAGAGGUAAGUGGAAUUCCCGGUGUAGCGGUGAAAUGCGUAGAGAUCGGGAGGAACACCAGUGGCGAAGGCGACUUACUGGACUGUAACUGACGCUGAGGCGCGAAAGUGUGGGGAGC